rnacentral:rRNA from 1 species
CACUUAUAGAUGGAUCCGCGCUGCAUUAGCUAGUUGGUAAGGUAACGGCUUACCAAGGCAACGAUGCAUAGCCGACCUGAGAGGGUGAUCGGCCACACUGGAACUGAGACACGGUCCAGACUCCUACGGGAGGCAGCAGUAGGGAAUCUUCCGCAAUGGGCGAAAGCCUGACGGAGCAACGCCGCGUGAGUGAUGAAGGUCUUCGGAUCGUAAAACUCUGUUAUUAGGGAAGAACAUAUGUGUAAGUAACUGUGCACAUCUUGACGGUACCUAAUCAGAAAGCCACGGCUAACUACGUGCCAGCAGCCGCGGUAAUACGUAGGUGGCAAGCGUUAUCCGGAAUUAUUGGGCGUAAAGCGCGCGUAGGCGGUUUUUUAAGUCUGAUGUGAAAGCCCACGGCUCAACCGUGGAGGGUCAUUGGAAACUGGAAAACUUGAGUGCAGAAGAGGAAAGUGGAAUUCCAUGUGUAGCGGUGAAAUGCGCAGAGAUAUGGAGGAACACCAGUGGCGAAGGCGACUUUCUGGUCUGUAACUGACGCUGAUGUGCGAAAGCGUGGGGAUCAAACAGGAUUAGAUACCCUGGUAGUCCACGCCGUAAACGA